rnacentral:rRNA from 1 species
UACAUGUGGGGCAAGCGUUGUUCGGAAUUACUGGGCAUAAAGGGUGCGUAGGUGGCUUGUUAAGUCAGGGGUGAAAGUUUUCGGCCCAACCGGAAAAUGGCCUUUGAUACUGGCGAGCUCGAGUGCGUGAGGGGUAACCGGAACGAGCAGUGUAGCGGUGAAAUGCGUAGAUAUUCGCAAGAACACCAGUGGCGAAGGCGGCUCACUGGCCCGGUACUGACGCUGAGGUGCGAAAGCGUGGGGAGCAAACAGG